rnacentral:rRNA from 1 species
CUUGCCUAAUCGCGAUAACGAACGAGACCUUAACCUGCUAAAUAGCCCGCAUUACUUCGGUAGUGUGCCGGCUUCUUAGAGGGACUAUCGGCUCAAGCCGAUGGAAGUUUGAGGCAAUAACAGGUCUGUGAUGCCCUUAGAUGUUCUGGGCCGCACGCGCGUUACACUGACAGAGCCAGCGAGUUCUUCCUUGGCCGAAAGGCCCGGGUAAUCUUGUUAAACUCUGUCGUGCUGGGGAUAGGGCAUUGCAAUG